rnacentral:rRNA from 1 species
CUGACCUCAAAUCAGGUGGACUACCCGCUGAACUUAA